GUUUACUGUCAGAAGUUCCUACAAUAAACUUCUAUAGUCAUAUUAUAUGCUUAUCAGCUAUGGGGAUUUCACACCUGGAAAAUAUGGAAAAUACAAGUGAUUUAACUGUCUAGAAAAGGGGGUUGAAGUCAACUUAUAGGUCAUACAUGUUAUUAAUGUCCAGCAGGACAAGGUAAUUUCAAUUAAGCGAAGAGUCCACAAUGCUUUAAUGUCUCAUUAGUCAAGAUGAAUCUUCAAAAAGGCAGUCACAUAGCUCAAUAAACCCAAACUCUGUAUUUUAGACAGUUAAGACAUCAUAUUUCACACUGAAACAGAAACUGUAUUAAGCUUAUGCACUACUGUUGGUCAGUUUAUGGUGAUGUCUUUCUGCUUAUUUGUUUAGAAUUAACAAUUAAAGUUGUAUUUUAAAAUCCUUUUGAGCAAAAGAAUUAGGAGUGUGUAGGUGUAUGUGUCAGAGGGGUUGAGGAAAAUAAUAUAACUACUUUACAAAGUGAUAAUUUAUACUUUGAAAUAUAAAGAUUAAUUCAAAAUAAUGUGUUCAUUCUAUAUGUGCUUUUUCUUAUAAUGUGUUGUUUUGUAGUUAUUCUACAUGUAAUCAUUAGAAAUUCUCUACACAGUUGUUAAAUAAUAAAUGUAUUAUUAGAAGUAAUAUACCUUAUAGACAUUUUUCAGAAACACUAAUUAUGCCUCAGAACAUACAGUAAUUAUAAUAUUAUACUAAUAAUGUAUGUCCCCCCUCGCCUUUUUUUUUUUUUUGAAACAAAGAAAUUCCUUGAGUUUUCUGGAGUAAGCUUUUGGCAGGAAAAUUAGAAACACUGAUUUUGUUCCCAUGACUGCCACUGGCAGUGCGAUGCAUUUAUGCACUUUUUGCCUCAGUUUCUCCCAUUACUGAAAUAAAACAGUAGUGGUUGCCACUUUAAAAUCUCAUUGGGUUGCUGUGAGAAAUAAUGAGGCUAGUGGGGAAUAGUUUGACAGAAUGAGGCAAGGAUCCUUGAACAUUAAAGAGAAUUCAAUAUAGAUGUCUUAAUAACAAAAAUAUUAGUAUUAAGCAGUUGCACAGCACUAUACUGUCAUAUUUCAUCAGCUGUCUCACCAAAGCCUAUUAGGGAAAUUUGGUUAUAUAGCCCAUUUUAGAAAAGAAAGGAAAUUAAAAUAUUCACAGAAGAAAGGCAGUGUGUGCAUGACACUUAAAGACGAAGCACAUAAACCAAAUGGAAAUUUUGAAAUGGUUUAGGCUACUACCUAUUUAACUCAAGCUCACUUUAUCAUCAGAAGCUUUAGCAAUUCAGAAUUUUAUGGGAAUAUCUAAAAUACUUAAUAGAAAUUCCAGGAAGCUCAGAAACUUCUCAGCAAGAAUAUAAAAGAGGAAGAAAUAAUCAAUUUUAUGACAAAAUAUUUCAUUUAUACAUCUGAGUACCAAAAGUGACUCUUGCUAAUGAAAUGCUAAGAUGGAAUCAUUGUAGGAAUAAACACUGGAAAAACUUCUUUUUUUCUAUUUCCUUCCAGAACCAUGAAUGAGUAAACAUAUAUUCCAUUUAUGUUAUAUUGUCUUACAGAGUGUUUUUUUCUUUUCUUUUACUUUUUUUCUUUUUGUCCUGGAAAACUGCUAGUACCUGAUAAACUAUUCUCUCCUUGGACAAAUAUUUAACCCAGGUUAAAUAGUAAAAUUUAGAAAAUAAUUUUUUUAAAUAUGUAUAUUUUGACUUGCAUUUUUAAAAUUCAAGUGAAAUUUCUGCUGUACCAAUCACACUAGUUUCUCAUAACUUAAAAAACAUGUGAGAAGCCAGAUGAUUAAUUGCUUCCACAAAUUCUAACCCGAAACCGUUUUAGAUAGUUGAGUCAAAGAGGCCUAUGUCACACUUUCUCUACCUCUUAUGGAAUUUUUAGCUUUCAGUUUUCAUAAGGGGGUUGGGGAUGCUGGAUACUGUAAGAUAUUUCCAAGGAAUGUAUAGAAAUUGAGAAAGGUAUACAAAAGCAGUUGUCCAACAUUUUGUUGAAUGCUCAACAUUUUCAAAUCUAUUUCUGUAAGACACUUUGUAAUACUGUGAUCAUUUUCCAAAAGAGAAAUGGCCUAUAAAAAGAGGCUGUGAAAUUGUUCUUAAAGAUUACUUUCCUGAGAUUCCAAAUUCAACUUCAUGAUGCCCUUCAUAAAUAAAAGGGUACCUAUACGUACUCUCCUACUUUCAUUGCUGUAGUAAUGAUGGUAGGAUUUUGCUUUCCAAAAGACAUGAUAAAACUGAUUCAAAAAUAAGCCUCACCAACAUAAAACUUUUUUUCUUGCAGAUUACGUACGAAAAUAGCAGUUCCUUGGGGCACUUGGGUGGCUCAGCUGGUUAAGCAUCCACCUUAUGCUCAGGUCAUGAUCACAGGGUCAGUGAGUUCCAGCCCGCUUCAGGCUCUGUGCUAACAGCCCAGAUCUUGGAGCCUGGUUUGGAUUCUGUGUCUCCCUCUCUCUCUGCCCCCCCUUUGCUCACACUUUAUCUCUCUCUCAAAAAUAAAUAAACAAACAAACAAAAAAAGAAAAUAGCAGUUCCAAAUUAAUUCUAUAAUUGCAUAAUAUAUAUACUUAUAAUAUAUUUACUUAAUAUAUAAAUAUAUAUUAAUUAUAUAAUUACUUAAUAUAUCAUAUAUAUUAAGUAAUUAUAUAUAUAUAACAAAUGCAUUGUAUAACCAAUAUAUAAAUAUACAUAUAACAUAAUGCCAAUAUAUAUUGUAUAUACUGAUAUAAUAAAUAGAUGACUAUUUUGCAUAUAUAGCAAAACUUAAUAAAAGGAAACCUAAUUUAAAAUGGAAUCAGAAGGGGAAGACUUCCAAGGAAGAUGGCAGAGUAGAAGGAUCCUAGGCUCACCUUGUCCCACAGAUACAACUAUAUAACACUUUCAAAAGUGUAAAUAGCCCAGAAAACGAUCUAAAGACUUGCAGAAUAGACUCUCCACAGCAAAAUGUGAAGAAGAGGACACACUGAAGAGGGCAGGGAUGACAGAGAUGUAGAAAGGAGCCAAACAAUUGAUUAUAAAAGAGUAUUAUGAAAAAUUAUAUGCCAACAAAUGGACAAUUAGAAGAAAUAGAUAAAUAAAUUCCAUAAUUUCCUAAAACUGAAUCAGGAAAAACCAGAAAAUUUGAACAGACCAAUUACAGGUAAUGAAAUUAAAUCAGUCAUCAAAAUCUCCCAACAAACAAAAAGUCUAGGGCCAGAUAAUUGCACAGGCAAAUAAUAUCAAACAUUUAAAAAGAGUUAAUAACAAUUCUUCUCAAAUUGUUCUAAAAAAUAGAAGGAGGAAAGCUUCCAAAUUCAUACUAUGAAGUCAACAUUGCCCUGAUACUUAAACCAGACAACACUACAAAAUAAGAGAACUAAAAGCAAAAUAUCUCUGAUGAACACAGACGCAAAUAUCCUCAACAAAAUAUUAGCAAACCUAAUACACUGAAAAAGUCAUUCACCAUGAUCAAGUGGGAUUUAUUCCUAUGAUGUAAAGGUGGUCAAUGUUCAUGAAUCAAUCAAUGUGACACAUCAUAUCAACAAGUGAAAGGAUAAAAAUCGUAUUGUCAUUUCAACAGAUGCAGAAAAAGCAUUUGACAAAGCACAACAUCCAUUUAUGACACAAAUCCUAAGCAAAGUAGGUUUAGAGGUAACAUAUCUCUACAUAAUAAAGGCCAUAUAUGAAAAGCCCACAGCUAACAUCAUACUCAGUGGUGAAAAACUGAGAGCUUUUCCCCUAAGGUUGGGAACUAGACAAGGAUGGCCAUUUUCACCACUUUUAUUCAACAGAGUAGUGGAAAUCCUAGCCACACCAAUUAGACAACAAAAAGAAAUAAAAGGCAUCCAGACUGGUAAGGAAGAAGUAAAACUUUCACCAUUUGCAGAUGACAUGAUACUAUAUACAAAAUCCUAAAGACCACCAGAACUACUAGAAUUGAUAAAUGAAUUCAGCAAGAUCACAGGAUGCAGAAUCAAUAUACAGAGUUACAUUUCAUUUCUAUACACUAAUAAUGAAAUAACAGAGCUUAAGAGAACACUCCCACUUACAUUGCACCAAAAAUAAUAAAACACGUAAGAAUAAACUUAACUGAGAAAGUGAAAGACCUGUACUCUGAAAAUUAUAAAGCACUGAUAAAAGAAGUUGGAGAUAACAAAAGAUAUUCUAGUCCAUGGGUUUGAAGAAUAUUGUUAAAAUGUCCACUAUGCAAAGCAACCUAUAGAUUUAAUGCAAUCUCUAUCAAAAUACCAACAGCAUUUUUCACAGUACUAGAACAAACAAUCCUAAAAUCUGUAUGGAAUCACAAAGACCCCCAAAAGCCAAAGCAAUCUUGAAAAUGAACAAACUGAAAGUAUCACAAACUCAGACUUCAAGAUAUACUACAAAGCUGGAGUAAUCAACACAGUAUGGUACUGACACAAAAUAGACACAUAGAACAGUGAAACAGGAUAGAGAGCCCAGAAAUAAACUCAUGAUUCUGUGGUCAACUAAUCUUUGACAAGAGGCAAGAAUAUACAGUGGAAAGAGAUAGCCUCUUAAACAAACAGUGUUGGGAAAACUGGACAGCUACAUGCAAAAGAAUGAAACUGGACCACUUUCUCACACUAUAUGCAAAAAUAAACCCAAAAUGGACAACAGACCUGAAUGUGAGACCUGAAACUGUAAACAUCCUAGAAGAGAGCAAGGACAAUCAUUUCCCUGAUAUUGGCCAUGGAACAUUUUUCUGGAUGUGUCUCCUCAGGCAAGGGAAACAAAAGCAAAAAUAAAGUAUUGGGACUACAUCAAAACAAAAAAACUUCUGCACAGAGAAGGAAACAAUUACCAAUGCUCAAAGACAACCUACUGAAUGGGAGAAAAUAUUUACAAAUGACAUAUCCAAUAAAGAGUAUCCAAAAUGUAUAAAGAAUGCAACUCAACACACAAAAACCUAAUCCAGUUAAAAAUUGGCAGAAGACACAAAUAGGCAUUUCUCCAAAGAAGACAUAAAGAUGACCAACAGACACAUGAAAAAAUGCUCAACAUCACUCAUCAUCAUGGAAAUGUAAAUCAAAACUACAAGAUAUCAUCUCACACUUGUCAGAAAGGCUAAAAUCAAAAACACAAACAAGUGUCGGUGAGGAUGUGGAGAAAAAAGAAACCCUCAUGCACUGUUGGUGGGACUGCAAACUGGUGCAGCAACUGUGGAAAAUUGUAUGUAUGGAGUUUCCUCAAAGAAAAUUAAAAAUGGAAUUACCAUAUGAUCCAUUAAGUCUGCUACUGGGUAUUUACCAAAAGAAUAAAAAAAAAACAGUAAUUCAAAAAUAUAUGUGCAUCCCUGUGUUUAUGGCAGCACUAUUUACAAUAGCCAAAAUAUGAAAGCAACCCAAGUGUCCAUCAACAGAUGGAUGGAUAAAGAAGAUGUGGUAUAUAUACAGAGUAGAAUAUUACUUAGCCAUAAAAAAGAAUGAACUCCUCCCAUUUGCAAAAACAUGGAUGGAUCUAGAGGGUAAAAUGCUAAGUGAAAUACAUCAGAGAAAGACAAAUACCAUAUGAUUUCACUCGUGAAAUUUAAGAAACAAAAGAAAAAAAAAGAGGGACAAACCAAAAAACAGACUCUUAAUUGUUGAGAACAAACUUAUGGUUACCAGAGGGGAGGUGGGUUGGGGGAUGGGUGAAAUAAGUGAAGGGGAUAAGGAGUACACUUAUGAUGAGCACUGAGUAAUGUAUAUAAUUGUUGGAUCACUAUAUUGUACAUCUGAAACUAAUACAACACUGCAUGUUAAUUAUAUUGGAAUAAAAAUAACAAUAAGCUAAAAUGGAAUCAGGAGGUCAGGAAGCCAGAAAGGGGAGCUCUCACACCCUACCACUGGCCAUCAGUUGCAGAUUCUAACAGGAAGGGACACACCCUACAUUCCCAACAGGAAGAAAUCUACCGUACUACCUGUACUACCCUAGCAGGAAGAAGAAAGAUCUUCUUGCCUGACAAGAAGCCAAUGACAAAUUGCCACAACUCAGCCAAUGAAAAGCCACUACUCUUUGAACAGUUUAUUCCAGUGAACUUGUUUAUAAGAAACACUCCCAAAUCCCCCAUUCCCCUAAGAAGUAGCAUUCCUCACCAUUGUUCUCUGGACCUGCCUGUAGUUUUACAAUAGUUUGCAUAUACCAAAUUGUAAUUCUGUGCUAUUCCCAAAUAAUCCCAUUUUUACUGGUAAAAUAACCGACAGUUUUAACAUUAACAGAUGCAAAUGAAAGUUUACAUUUGAGAAAGAAAUAGAGCAUUGUUUAUUAUCACAUAUGAAUAGAGCUAAUGUUCAUUAUGAAAUGGAAAUGUUUGUCAGUAGGUGUGACAUAUAUCUACUCCCUGAGAGGACCAUAGGAAAGCAUUACCUUGAACUUCUGCUUAAACUAAUGUGCUGUUUUUAUUAGCAUACACGAUGACUGAGGUCUUCACAUCUUUCUACAUUGUGUGCUGGAGUUAGUGUGCUGGAGCCAAGGCACAUAUCUCCCCAAUUCCAGGUUCAAUUAAAUCAUCUCAGUAACUUGAAACAGGUCAUGGCAAGAAGCUGAGUAGACUUCCCACCCCUACCCCAAACAUAUAGUCCGUUGUUAUGUUGCAUUUCCUGGGAUACUGGUUAAAAAUUCUGGGUCCAGUUCCAGCGUGUUGGCAGGUGAGUUUUCCUACACCAUCAAGUAAUUCUUGAUUUGAUGGAUGUCCUACAAUUCAACUUGAUUCUGACACUACCCAGAUAGAGCAUCAGAUCCCAUAGGUUAAGGCUCCGUCCCAUAAGACUACUGCCCACCCUGUAGGUCAGAUACCAUUCACAAGCUUAGGUUGCCAUUUGUGCUUCUGAUCAACUGUCUGUAGGUGGAAGAUUCCCAUGACCUACUUCCUUGGGUUCAAUUAAUUUUUGAGAGCAGCUCUCAAAACCCAGAGAAACACCCUACUUACUAGAUUAUUAGGUUAUUAUAAAAUGAUAUCAUUCAGGAAGAGCCAAAUUAAAGAAAUACAUAAAAAAAGAUAUGGGGAAUGGGCCUGAAGGUUCAAUGCCCUCCUCAAGUAUGCACUCUCUCAGCACCUCCACCAGGUAUUCACCAGAAGCCCUCUGAAACCCAUUCUUUUGUGUUUUCAUGAAGGCUGCAUUGCAUCAUCAUGAUUGUUUAAACCAUUCGUAAUUAGUGAUUGAACUCCUUCUCUAGCCCCUUUCCCCUCCUCAGAGGUCUGGGGCAGAAAUCUGGGGUGAGACUGAAAACUCCAACCCUCUUUUCAUAUGGUUGGCUCCUCACUCCACCAGCCUUUAGAUGCUUUCUAAAUGUCCCCUUCAUUAACAUAAAAAAGACACCUGUUGUCACUCAUCAUUGAGGACAUUCCAAAGAUUUUAGUAACUCUCUGCUAGAAAUGGCAACUAAGAUAAAAUAUACAUUCUGAGUAUAAGUCAAAAUAUUAAAGUGGAGCACUGUAUUUCCACCUCCCAACAAGGCUGUAUUUCUAGAGAUUCUAUCUGCUGCCCUGUGCAUUAAUGUAUUGAGGCAUUGCUGGGCAGUGUAAUACAGAAGCAGAUCAUAUCCAUUGGUUAAGUCUCAGUUCUUACUUGACCCCUCAGCAGCAUUCUGGACAGUCAAUGCCAUUAAUGCACUUUCUUCAUAUGGCUACACAGCAGUCUUCUUACUACUUGCUCUUUCUUGGUCUCCUUUGGUGGUUUCUUCUUUUGUUUCCUAUUUCUUGAGGGUUUGUAGUAAAAUCUCACUUGGUUUUAAUUUGCACUUACUUAAUGCUAAUGAUGUUGAGCGUAUUUUCAUGUGCUUAUCUACUAACUGUUUAUCCUCUUCAGUGAAAUGCCUGUGCAUUUUCUUUGCCAAUUUUCUAAUUAAGUUUGCAUAAAGGAGGUAGGUGCCUCCCCCCAACCUCCACCCAAAUUUGGAGGAACAGACAUUCAGAGAAUGGCAAUAGCUCUGUAUAUAAAAAAAAUUUUCAAAAGUGUUUUUAUCAUCUAUAUAUCCUUCCUUUCUAUAUCCUGACUUUAACUGAAGGGUCCAAGGGUCACGGAAAUGGUUUUCACAGAUUUCCUUUGAAUAUCUGCAAGUAAAGGUUUGACACUUCCCUUUGGCAUUUUAUAUCUAUUAUGCAUUGUUAAUUUAGAUUCAAAAGUAUUUAGUAUAAAUGAGAAAUUACAAAUUGUAAAAUUCAAAAAAAAAGUAAAUGAUGGCAAAUAAUUCAAAUAUUACAAAAUUCAGAAAAAUAAUAUUUGUAUUAAUUUCCUGACAUUUCUUUAUAAAUUUUUUGCAUGUAUUUUUGGCUGAACACUUCCAUACAGUAAAAUGCACAAGCCUUAAAGGUACAGCUUGAUAAAUUUUUACUUGGAUCUAUACCUACAUAACCACAACCCAGAGCAAAAUGCACAUUUUCAGAACCUCAGAAGGUUCCCUGUUACCCAUUUUGGUCAGUACCCACCAAGAUUAACACGUAGUCUGUUUUCACCACAGAUUCACUUGGAUUCCUUUUGAACUCCAUGUAAAUGGAGUGAUAUCGUACGUACUCUUUCGGGGCUGACUUCUUCCAUUUAUCAUUAUGUGUAUCAGAUUCACUGAUAUUGUACAUAUCGUCCAUUAUAUCUCUGUGUUUGUUGAAACUUCAAUCGUAAUGUAACACCCUAUCAUAUGCAACGUCUCUGAGGGUAUUAUUGUUCUCUCAGUUGCAAAGAUUCAUGUUGGUUAGUUUCUCUAACUUGUCUAUAGGAUCAAUAACCAAGUAUUUUACACUCUUCUAAGAUAAGGUCCCCUCUAAAAGGUCCCCUCUCCUCUUUUCCAUCCCCUCUGCCACUGUGCUUGUUCAGAGCCUUAGCAUCUCAUACCUAGAAUACUUUCACAGAUUUUCUACUUCCGCUAUCUCUCCGGCAAAAUGUCUCCCCUGGAAGAUUAAACUUGUGGGGCAAAGUAUUUGUCAUGUUAAUCUAGACUCAACAUAAUUAAAUAUUCUACUUUGUUUCUAAGGAAAAAAAAUGAAACACUCUAAACUGAUAUUCAAUGCCCUUCACAGUCAGGCUUCAAUGAACUUCUCCUUUAUGACUAUAGCAAUGAAUCUUGAGUAAUCCCUCUGCACCUAACUACCUUCCCCACAGAUAGAAUUAAUCCAUCUCAGGGGCAGUUCCAGCCAUCAUCCAGUACCCACUUUAAAUCCCACUUCCUCUCUGAAGCUUUACUGCAACAACUGAUAUAUAAAUGAAGUCUCUCUUCCUUUAUGUGGGUACUGUCCCGACUGCUACUACUACUGCUUGUUUUAUCUCCCUGAGGAGACUCUAAGUUUCUGGAGAGGAGUUAUCACUCAUUUGUUAUUUUUCAGUUCUGCAGAGGACCCUUGGUAAACUUUAAUAAAAAGUUUUAUAGAACAUUUAAAGGGCUAUGGAUAAAAGCAACAGUGGGGAAAGUGGCAACAGAUGACAAACAUUUGCUACUUUCCAAAUCUGCUCUGAUCAACCCUUAUAAAUAUCAGUUAACUCACCAGUGAGGCUCAUUUCCAUGCUGAUGCCAUAAACAUAAUUCCUGGUAGCUGAUUGAGAUAAUACACUUAAAAUAGAGAUUUAUUCUAAUGGGAUAUAUUCCACUGCUUUGUCACAGAUAUUCUACUUGGCUCAUUCUCCUUUCUUAUCCUUAAAAGAUUUACCCAGGAAGUUAUCAAGAUAAUUCAGUAGUAUAUUUAUAUUAACUUCCACCUGAAGAGCUAAAAAUAUGAUAAUAUGCUAUUAUUGUGAGAAUGAAAGACUAACAACUCAAAGUCCAAAGUUAAAGCCUAAAUGAGAGAAUGUUUAACACAAUGGACCUAGAUCAUCUAGCAACUGCAGAGCUUUUAAAGCAUUAAAAAGAAAAAAGAGAAAGAGUAGGACAUCUACCUAGGCAGAACUUCACAUUACAAUGAUUUAACUUUCUUUAAAAAUGAAACUUUUUAGGUUUACAUAUGAAACAAAAAUAUCAAACUUCCAUCAAGGAGUAUAAUAUAAACAGAAGAUAUAAUGGAGACCAUUAGCAGAGCAUUUCACCAUCAAUAAUUCGGUAAAGUUACACCCCCAGUUCUCACUAUUAUGUUAUGAAGUCUAGUUCACAUCAUAUAUGUUUUCAAAAUAUAAUGCUACCUUUGUAGAGGAAAAUCUGCUUAUGUGAUAUUGGAACAAAUUGAUGUGGUAGGUAGUGAAAAUAAUACAAUUCCCUAGAAUAAAAAUAUAUCCUUAUGAUAUCCCCCAAUACUAUGCAAAACUAUUACUGAUGAGAGUUCCUUUCCAUUCCCACCUCACAUUACUUUCCUGUGCUAUUGUUUUUGGAGAGAAGAAAACAGAUUCAUGUAUGAACGUCUCCACAACACUUCAGGGAAAAUGAGAAGGGGAAGAAUAAAUAGUCCAUAAACAUGAUGGGAAUUACUUGGAAAAUUCCACUAUCCUUGUUCUAAUUUUAGAAUUGCCAAGAGAAUAUCUAGUACAUACAGAACUUUGAAAAAAGUUGAAACUACACAGUUUUGAAAUAAUCCUACUUCCUUUGCCCUGGCUUUCUCCCUGCUUCCCUACAUAUAACCUUUUCACAUAUUUAUUUUGGUGUCCACAUUCUUUGCGAACUAUGUUGUUAAACCUAAGACCUCAUAAAGUAAAUCCUUGCAGUUAUGAAAAAAAGAAAGUGAGGUCAUUUUGGAGUUGUGUGGCUAAUUUACAAUCUGAACACUUUUGCAUUUUUCCCAUUUUAAAGAAACUUUAAAAACUUAUCAAUAGAUUUCUUUGUGGCUUUUACUAAUGAAGUUGUAUUUUUUUUUUCCACCAGUGGUAGGUGUUGAAUAAUUUGAAUGGGAAUUUGAAGGUUCAUGGCUUCCAAACCAGCAGGAGUUAAGGCUUAAUUGCUUGGAAAUACAUUUUCAGGGCUGAUACCAGUAACAGAAAAAUGUCUGUAUGUCAAAAGAGGCUCUGUGCUCAUCAUUUAACCAUAACAUGUGCCACCCCAUACCUAGGGACAAUGUAACUGCUAACAGCUUGAAGCUAUUAAAAAUGUACCAAUAG
rnacentral:lncRNA from 1 species